rnacentral:rRNA from 1 species
GAUGAACGCUGGCGGCGUGCCUAAUACAUGCAAGUCGAGCGAACAGACGAGGAGCUUGCUCCUCUGACGUUAGCGGCGGACGGGUGAGUAACACGUGGAUAACCUACCUAUAAGACUGGGAUAACUUCGGGAAACCGGGGCUAAUACCGGAUAAUAUAUUAAACCGCAUGGUUCAAUAGUGAAAGACGGUUUUGCUUUCACUUAUAGAUGGAUCCGCGCCGCAUUAGCUAGUUGGUAAGGUAACGGCUUACCAAGGCAACGAUGCGUAGCCGACCUGAGAGGGUGAUCGGCCACACUGGAACUGAGACACGGUCCAGACUCCUACGGGAGGCAGCAGUAGGGAAUCUUCCGCAAUGGGCGAAAGCCUGACGGAGCAACGCCGCGUGAGUGAUGAAGGUCUUCGGAUCGUAAAACUCUGUUAUUAGGGAAGAACAAAUGUGUAAGUAACUAUGCACGUCUUGACGGUACCUAAUCAGAAAGCCACGGCUAACUACGUG